AUUGAACGCUGGCGGCAGGCCUAACACAUGCAAGUCGAGCGAGCGGCGGAAGGGUGAGGAAUGUAUGGGGACUGCCCGUUAGAGGGGGAUAACGACUGGAAACGGUAGCUAAUACCGCAUACUAUCGGAUAACCCAUAUGGGAUUAGCUAGUAGGUGAGGUAAUGGCUCACCUAGGCGACGAUCCCUAGCUGGUCUGAGAGGAUGAUCAGCCACACUGGGACUUAGACACGGCCCAGACUCCUACGGAGGCAGCAGUGGGGAAUAUUGCACAAUGGGCGCAAUCCUGAUGCAGCCAUGCCGCGUGUAUGAAGAAGGCCCUAGGGUUGUAAAGUACUUUCAGUUGGGAGGCGUUACCAACAGAAGAAGCACCGGCUAACUCCGUGCCAGCCGCCGCGGUAAUAC
rnacentral:rRNA from 1 species